AACCCGGAUAUAUAAUCGGCCCCUAUAUAUUCUGCAUGCAUUGAGGGGGCCCCCACCCCACCCCAGGACCCGGUACAGACGUGGAACCUGUUUCAAACAGCUGCUGCUUGAAGGGAAAAAAGAAGCAAAUGAUACCAAGAGAAGCCCAUAACAGAGAUCUAUUCACCAGAUGUGCACGGAUGAAAAUACAGUGAGAUGAGUCAGAAAGCGGUUAAGGAGGGCCCCAGACUCUCCAAGAACCAGAAGUUCUCCGAGCACUUCAGCAUACAUUGCUGCCCGCCGUUCACCUUCCUCAAUUCCAAACGUGAGAUCGUGGACCGCAAGUACAGCAUCUGUAAAAGCGGCUGCUUCUACCAGAAGAAAGAGGAGGACUGGAUCUGCUGCGCCUGCCAGAAGACCAGAACCAGCCGCCGCGCACCGUCCCCUCAGAGGCCCAAGCGCCAGCCAGCUGCACCCCCCGCGGUGGUCAGAGCGCCAGCCAAGCCACGGUCCCCUCCGAGGCCCGAACGCCAGCCACGCCCCCGCCCAGAAGUCCGACCUCCACCGGCCAAGCAGCGGCCCCCUCAGAAGGCCAAGCAGCAGCCGCGCAGCAGCCCCCAGAGAGGGCCAGGCACCAGCCGUGGGGGGUCCCCCGUCAAAGCUUCUAGGUUCUGGUAACACCAUCUCUUCCCUUUUGCUCCCCCCAGCCCUCAGAUUGAAAAGGAGGACCAAGCCGACCCCUCGGAAGAAGUGAUGGAGGACUUUCAGGUGAACGGUUGGCCUCAGCUCCUGGACUCACUGCUUCUCGACGCACGUGCCCUGGGACAGGUCACCCGGCUUUGAAUAUGACGCAGGGGCCGCCACCUGCUGAUGUGGCCACAGCCGAUGCCCACAGUCCCCGUGGGGCGGGCGCCGCCGGGCAGCCUGCCUGGAGCAUUUUGAAAAUACUGUCCUGUGGUCUGUUGACCUCUAUAAUUGCCAAUGAGAAAUAUGCGGUCCUUCCAUUGACUCAAGUUUCUCUCAAUCUGAAGACAUGUAUCUUUCUUCAGGGAUGUGUAAUAAAACCACAAGAUAUUGUUGUACAACCACGGUAAAGGCAAAAAGAAAAAUUAUCAGUUGUUGGCCAGGAUGUGGGAAAAAUUCAAGCCACCGUUGAGAAUUUAUAAAUUAUCACAACACUUCUGGGGUGCAAUCUGGGGGUACCAGCAAAAUAAGAUUCUGUAUAGCCUAUGAUCAAGUGAUUAUGAUAUUAGGCACCAAUCCUGAGAAAACUUGCGUUCAUAGAAAAAGGAGAUACAGGUACAUCUGUUCAGCGAAGCAUUGCUUGCCAUUGGGGGGCAGGGAGAGAAAGAAAUUAAUCAAAAUGUCCAUCAAUAGGAGAAUCAGUAAUGGGAUCUCCAAUAAAUAAAUCCUGGACAGCAGUUAAAUGAAUCAGGUAUUCUCACACCAGGUAGAUAAAUUUGGAAGACAAAAUGAGGAAUAUAAAAAAUAGAUGGUAAAUGGAGUGAUGCCUUAUGUAUAGAUUUUAACCACCCACAAAGCAAUAAUUGUCCAAUAUGCAGAAACAGUAAGACCGCUCACUCUCUACAGUGCAACAGAAUUUUUUUAAAAAGAGAGAGAGAGAGAGACAACAGAAUAAAAGGCAAUCCAAGAAAUAUCUAUCCUCAUGGAAACCAAAAAGAAGAUUUGAAAUAAUUCCUGGCUUGAAGAAAUAACAGAAAUUAAACGCUGCAUAGAAGUGGUCAAUAGUACUAGCCAGACACAAAUGUGCUUGGGGAGGUAAGGGAGACAAAUGACCAACCUGGGGGUCUCUCCAGGCUUAAAAGUCUUAGAGAACAAAGAUACUUGUUUGGAGUCCAUUUUUUUAAAAUCUGAGUUGAACUGUGGUUUCUGACAGGGGAAAAGGGGAAGCGUUAGAAUAUACUCCUCCCUCCCAAGCUUCCCUUGGUGACAGGCAGGAAGGCACAGUAGAAGAUAAUGGAACGUAGUAGAAUGUGGAGGGAUGUCAAAUGGGCAGCAUUAAGUGGAGGGAAGCUCAGAGCAAGGAGGGCGAGGGUACGUGGGCCUGCAUGGCACUGGGGGCUGGGACGGCCAAGCACGAAUGCCUGAAGUACCAACAAGGCCACAGACCCGUGUCCCUGAGUGGGCACAGCCAGGCGGAGCCAGGCUUGAGCGGCACGUGAGGAGCUGGAGGAACGAUGCCAGGGGACGCCCUGCUUGAGGUGGCGGCUGGGUGAGAGGGAGUGCUGGGAGCCGGGAGGAAGCAUGCGAGACUCAGAUGGGCUUAGCUCCGAACGCCAUCCUCCCGGAGAGUGGAAGUUGGCCAAGUACUGUCCCAAGGCAGCUGGAAGGACAGAGUGCCCUGGCUUCCUCACGUAGGGAGGUCCCUUCUCGGUGAAAGUGGUGAUGUUAAUAACAGGCAGGGAGUCGAAUGACACAGAGCUUUCAGAUAGACAUGCUUCCUGCCUACAUUCAGGUGCUAAAUGACCAACCAAAUGAGAACCUCUAAUGAACAGUUUCCAGCAAUGAGAACGCCGAGUCAUUACACUCCUGGGAGUAACGCCCGGGGUGCCGUGACAGAUGCCAGAAAGAGCGCAUUAGUGGGCCAGCCCCACUCAGACCCGGGGAGGAAACUUCAUGUUCUUUUAGCUUGUUGUAGAUCUUGCAAAGCCAGACCCCAUGCUCCAAGCUUGCUGGGUUCUACCCUCCAUGUCAUCCAGGAGAUACAACAGGGUUACUACAGAAUGUGACACUGAGCAGAGAGCAUGGUGUGUAUUAAUUCAUGUAAGAAACUGUAUAUCAGCACAGAAAUGUUAAUAACUAGAAAUGACUGGAUUCUCUAUGUUGUCUGUUGUGGACACAAAGGCCACUGGGAGGUGGAUCAAAAAUAUCUGGAAAUUACUUGAAACUGAUGAAUAACUAAACAGAAUUAUAACUAAAAUGUACCAUAAUCCAACUGUAUUUUUUUGUCUUUUAACGAUUGGUUCUGCGGCGCCCUAUGCAGUGAACAUUACAAAAAUCACACGAAACUCCAAAAGCUACUCUAGGUAAAUUUCUUGAGUGGGAAUUCCCAGCUGUAAUGUUUGGCAUAUUAUUCUAAUAGUUCUGUAUGUUAACUGAUUUUGUUUUGACAUUUUGACUGGUUUUGGGAAAACUGUGGUGUGUAUCUGGAAUUGUCUUGAGACAUGCUUAAACUGUGAUUCUCUGGGUGGAAAGUCCUGGUUGAUAGUGUUUGCCAAUUUCCAUGCUGUAAAUACUUCCAUUAUGGCUGACUGCAGGCUACAAAUGUGGUAUCACUGAGUGCAGAAUUGGGAAGAGGUGCACAACGUUGAUCCUUGUGAGUUGGUAUAGGACACUGUAUAUACUUGUGGCCCUGUGUAAAACUACAUUUUUUUACUAAAAAUAUUGCCCCAUAAAUAUACAAAGGCAUUAGUGAAAGGAAAAAUAAAUUCCAACUGGGAGCUCAAACAGAGAAAACUGGCAGAAGAUUUUUUGAAAAACUUUGUCUAUAGUCUACAUUUUAUUAUUAUCUUUUAUUAAGCAUCUAUGUGUUACCCUGAGUGUUCUGAACUCUUAGUUUCUUUGGUGUUCCCCUGGAUAGAGGCUAGGGUUCCCUCUCCUUUCAGAUAUUGGUGCUAAGACGAUGCUGACCGAAGAAUCGAUGGGACCUACUCAUCGUGAAGCCAUUUUCAGGAGGGCCGAGCUGAUGGUGGAGGCAGAAGAGAAGACACAGAGCCUCCUGAGUUUGGGGAGGCGAUGCUAAUAUUUAGACGUAUGGUUUGGUAUGAUCAUGUAUUACUUUUAAAAAAUUAAUGCUCAUGAAAACAAGAAAAACCAGUUGUUCAAAAAUUGAAAAACAAUGGAAUAAUAAACUCUUCUAUUAGAGUAAGCCAAGAAGAAAUUUAUUAAACUUGAGAUGAAUCGGAAAUUUCAA